rnacentral:rRNA from 1 species
UAACCUGCCCAAGAGAUCGGGAUAACACCUGGAAACAGAUGCUAAUACCGGAUAACAACAGAUGAUGCCUAUCAACUGUUUAAAAGAUGGUUCUGCUAUCACUCUUGGAUGGACCUGCGGUGCAUUAGCUAGUUGGUAGGGUAACGGCCUACCAAGGCGAUGAUGCAUAGCCGAGUUGAGAGACUGAUCGGCCACAUUGGAACUGAGACACGGCCCAAACUCCUACGGGAGGCAGCAGAG